UACGGAGGGAGCAAGCGUUACUCGGAAUUAUUGGGCGUAAAGGGCGCGUAGGCGGCUAUUUAAGUUUGUGUGAAAUCCCAUGGCUUAACCAUGGAAUUGCACGAAAUACUGAAUGGAUUGAGUGUAGGAGAGGAAGGCAGAAUUCCCGGUGUAGCGGUGAAAUGCGUAGAUAUCAGGAGGAACACCUGUGGUGUAGACGGCUUACUGGACCAUGACUGACGCUGAGGCACGAAAGCGUGGGUAGCAAACAGG
rnacentral:rRNA from 1 species